AAUCUGCGAUAAGCGUCGGUAAGGUGAUAUGAACCGUUAUAACCGGCGAUUUCCGAAUGGGGAAACCCAGUGUGAUUCGUCACACUAUCAUUAACUGAAUCCAUAGGUUAAUGAGGCGAACCGGGGGAACUGAAACAUCUAAGUACCCCGAGGAAAAGAAAUCAACCGAGAUUCCCCCAGUAGCGGCGAGCGAACGGGGAGCAGCCCAGAGCCUGAAUCAGUGUGUGUGUUAGUGGAAGCGUCUGGAAAGGCGUGCGAUACAGGGUGACAGCCCCGUACACAAAAAUGCACAUACUGUGAGCUCGAUGAGUAGGGCGGGACACGUGGUAUCCUGUCUGAAUAUGGGGGGACCAUCCUCCAAGGCUAAAUACUCCUGACUGACCGAUAGUGAACCAGUACCGUGAGGGAAAGGCGAAAAGAACCCCGGCGAGGGGAGUGAAAAAGAACCUGAAACCGUGUACGUACAAGCAGUGGGAGCACGCUUAGGCGUGUGACUGCGUACCUUUUGUAUAAUGGGUCAGCGACUUAUAUUCUGUAGCAAGGUUAACCGAAUAGGGGAGCCGAAGGGAAACCGAGUCUUAACUGGGCGUUAAGUUGCAGGGUAUAGACCCGAAACCCGGUGAUCUAGCCAUGGGCAGGUUGAAGGUUGGGUAACACUAACUGGAGGACCGAACCGACUAAUGUUGAAAAAUUAGCGGAUGACUUGUGGCUGGGGGUGAAAGGCCAAUCAAACCGGGAGAUAGCUGGUUCUCCCCGAAAGCUAUUUAGGUAGCGCCUCGUGAAUUCAUCUCCGGGGGUAGAGCACUGUUUCGGCAAGGGGGUCAUCCCGACUUACCAACCCGAUGCAAACUGCGAAUACCGGAGAAUGUUAUCACGGGAGACACACGGCGGGUGCUAACGUCCGUCGUGAAGAGGGAAACAACCCAGACCGCCAGCUAAGGUCCCAAAGUCAUGGUUAAGUGGGAAACGAUGUGGGAAGGCCCAGACAGCCAGGAUGUUGGCUUAGAAGCAGCCAUCAUUUAAAGAAAGCGUAAUAGCUCACUGGUCGAGUCGGCCUGCGCGGAAGAUGUAACGGGGCUAAACCAUGCACCGAAGCUGCGGCAGCGACGCUUAUGCGUUGUUGGGUAGGGGAGCGUUCUGUAAGCCUGUGAAGGUGUGCUGUGAGGUAUGCUGGAGGUAUCAGAAGUGCGAAUGCUGACAUAAGUAACGAUAAAGCGGGUGAAAAGCCCGCUCGCCGGAAGACCAAGGGUUCCUGUCCAACGUUAAUCGGGGCAGGGUGAGUCGACCCCUAAGGCGAGGCCGAAAGGCGUAGUCGAUGGGAAACAGGUUAAUAUUCCUGUACUUGGUGUUACUGCGAAGGGGGGACGGAGAAGGCUAUGUUGGCCGGGCGACGGUUGUCCCGGUUUAAGCGUGUAGGCUGGUUUUCCAGGCAAAUCCGGAAAAUCAAGGCCGAGGCGUGAUGACGAGGCACUACGGUGCUGAAGCAACAAAUGCCCUGCUUCCAGGAAAAGCCUCUAAGCAUCAGGUAACAUCAAAUCGUACCCCAAACCGACACAGGUGGUCAGGUAGAGAAUACCAAGGCGCUUGAGAGAACUCGGGUGAAGGAACUAGGCAAAAUGGUGCCGUAACUUCGGGAGAAGGCACGCUGAUACGUAGGUGAAGCGACUUGCUCGUGGAGCUGAAAUCAGUCGAAGAUACCAGCUGGCUGCAACUGUUUAUUAAAAACACAGCACUGUGCAAACACGAAAGUGGACGUAUACGGUGUGACGCCUGCCCGGUGCCGGAAGGUUAAUUGAUGGGGUUAGCGCAAGCGAAGCUCUUGAUCGAAGCCCCGGUAAACGGCGGCCGUAACUAUAACGGUCCUAAGGUAGCGAAAUUCCUUGUCGGGUAAGUUCCGACCUGCACGAAUGGCGUAAUGAUGGCCAGGCUGUCUCCACCCGAGACUCAGUGAAAUUGAACUCGCUGUGAAGAUGCAGUGUACCCGCGGCAAGACGGAAAGACCCCGUGAACCUUUACUAUAGCUUGACACUGAACAUUGAGCCUUGAUGUGUAGGAUAGGUGGGAGGCUUUGAAGUGUGGACGCCAGUCUGCAUGGAGCCGACCUUGAAAUACCACCCUUUAAUGUUUGAUGUUCUAACGUGGACCCGUGAUCCGGGUUGCGGACAGUGUCUGGUGGGUAGUUUGACUGGGGCGGUCUCCUCCUAAAGAGUAACGGAGGAGCACGAAGGUUGGCUAAUCCUGGUCGGACAUCAGGAGGUUAGUGCAAUGGCAUAAGCCAGCUUGACUGCGAGCGUGACGGCGCGAGCAGGUGCGAAAGCAGGUCAUAGUGAUCCGGUGGUUCUGAAUGGAAGGGCCAUCGCUCAACGGAUAAAAGGUACUCCGGGGAUAACAGGCUGAUACCGCCCAAGAGUUCAUAUCGACGGCGGUGUUUGGCACCUCGAUGUCGGCUCAUCACAUCCUGGGGCUGAAGUAGGUCCCAAGGGUAUGGCUGUUCGCCAUUUAAAGUGGUACGCGAGCUGGGUUUAGAACGUCGUGAGACAGUUCGGUCCCUAUCUGCCGUGGGCGCUGGAGAACUGAGGGGGGCUGCUCCUAGUACGAGAGGACCGGAGUGGACGCAUCACUGGUGUUCGGGUUGUCAUGCCAAUGGCACUGCCCGGUAGCUAAAUGCGGAAGAGAUAAGUGCUGAAAGCAUCUAAGCACGAAACUUGCCCCGAGAUGAGUUCUCCCUGACCCUUUAAGGGUCCUGAAGGAACGUUGAAGACGACGACGUUGAUAGGCCGGGUGUGUAAGCGCAGCGAUGCGUUGAGCUAACCGGUACUAAUGAACCGUGAGGCUUAACCUUACAACGCCGAAG
rnacentral:rRNA from 1 species